rnacentral:rRNA from 1 species
AGUGAACGCUGGCGGUAGGCCUAACACAUGCAAGUCGAACGGCAGCACAGUAAGAGCUUGCUCUUACGGGUGGCGAGUAGCGGACGGGUGAGGAAUACAUCGGAAUCUACUUUUUCGUGGGGGAUAACGUAGGGAAACUUACGCUAAUACCGCAUACGACCUACGGGUGAAAGCAGGGGAUCUUCGGACCUUGCGCGAUUGAAUGAGCCGAUGUCGGCUUAGCUAGUUGGCGGGGUAAAGGCCCACCAAGGCGACGAUCCGUAGCUGGUCUGAGAGGAUGAUCAGCCACACUGGAACUGAGACACGGACCAGACUCCUACGGGAGGCAGCAGUGGGGAAUAGUGGACAAUGGGCGCAAGCCUGAUCCAGCCAUACCGCGUGGGUGAAGAAGGCCUUCGGGUUGUAAAGCCCUUUUGUUGGGAAAGAAAAGCAGCAGGUUAAGACCCCGCUGUUCUGACGGUACCCAAAGAAUAAGCACCGGCUAACUUCGUG